rnacentral:rRNA from 1 species
UUCCGGUUGAUCCCGCCGGACCUGACUGCUAUCGGAUUGAUACUAAGCCAUGCGAGUCAUUGUAGCAAUACAAGGCAGACGGCUCAGUAACGCGUAGUCAACCUAACCUAUGGACGGGAAUAACCUCGGGAAACUGAGAAUAAUGCCCGAUAGAACACUAUGCCUGGAAUGGUUUGUGUUCCAAAUGAUUUAUCGCCGUAGGAUGGGACUGCGGCUUAUCAGUUUGUUGGUGAGGUAAUGGCCCACCAAGACUAUUACAGGUACGGGCUCUGAGAGGAGUGGCCCGGAGAUGGGUACUGAGACACGGACCCAGGCCCUAUGGGGCGCAGCAGGCGAGAAAACUUUGCAAUGUGCGAAAGCACGACAAGGUUAAUCCGAGUGGUUUCUGCUAAAGGAACCUUUUGUCGGUCCUAGAAACACCGAUGAAUAAGGGGUGGGCAAGUUCUGGUGUCAGCCGCCGCGGUAAAACCAGCACCUCAAGUGGUCAGGAUGAUUAUUGGGCCUAAAGCAUCCGUAGCCUGCUUUGUUAGUUUUCGGUUAAAUCUGUACGCUCAACGUACAGGCUGCCGGGAAUACUGCAAAGCUAGGGAGUGGGAGAGGUAGACGGUACUCGGUAGGAAGGGGUAAAAUCCUUUGAUCUAUUGAUGACCACCUGUGGCGAAGGCGGUCUACCAGAACACGUCCGACGGUGAGGGAUGAAAGCUGGGGGAGCAAACCGGAUUAGAUACCCGGGUAGUCCCAGCUGUAAACCAUGCAAACUCAGUGAUGCAUUGGCUUGUGGCCAAUGCAGUGCUGCAGGGAAGCCGUUAAGUUUGCCGCCUGGGAAGUACGUACGCAAGUAUGAAACUUAAAGGAAUUGGCGGGGGAGCACCACAAGGGGUGAAGCCUGCGGUUCAAUUGGAGUCAACGCCGGG